rnacentral:rRNA from 1 species
AUUGAACGCUGGCGGCAUGCUUUACACAUGCAAGUCGAACGGCCGCGCGGGCUUCGGCCUGGCGGCGAGUGGCGAACGGGUGAGUAAUACAUCGGAACGUGCCCCGUCGUUGGGGAUUGCUCGGCGAAAGCCGGAUUAAUACCGCAUACGACCUGAGUGUGAAAGCGGGGAUCUUCGGACCUCGCGCUUUUUGAGCGGCCGAUGGCAGUUUAUCUAGUUGGUGGGGUAAAGGACUACCAAGGCGACGAUCUGUAGCUGGACUGAGAGGACGACCAGCCACACGGGGACUGAGACACGGCCCAGACUCGGACGGGAGGCAGCAGUGGGGAAUUUAGGACAAGGGGCGAAAGGGUGAUCCAGGAAUGCCGCGUGUGUGAUGAAGGCCUACGGGUUGUAAAGGACUUUUGGCGGGAACGAAAAGGACUGUGCCAAUACGACGGUUCGAUGACGGUACCCGCAGAAUAAGCACCGGCUAAUUACGU